AACGAACGCUGGCGGCAUGCCUAACACAUGCAAGUCGAACGAGACCUUCGGGUCUAGUGGCGCACGGGUGCGUAACGCGUGGGAACCUGCCCUUAGGUUCGGAAUAACUCCCCGAAAGGGGUGCUAAUACCGGAUAAUGUCUUCGGACCAAAGAUUUAUCGCCUUUGGAUGGGCCCGCGUUGGAUUAGCUAGUUGGUAGGGUAAAAGCCUACCAAGGCGACGAUCCAUAGCUGGUCUGAGAGGAUGAUCAGCCACACUGGGACUGAGACACGGCCCAGACUCCUACGGGAGGCAGCAGUGGGGAAUAUUGGACAAGUGGCGAAAGCCUGAUCCAGCAAUGCCGCGUGAGUGAUGAAGGCCUUAGGGUUGUAAAGCUCUUUUACCCGGGAUGAUAAUGACAGUACCGGGAGAAUAAGCUCCGGCUAACUCCGUG
rnacentral:rRNA from 1 species